GACGAACGCUGGCGGCGCGCCUAACACAUGCAGGUCGAACGAGCGAGAGAGAGCUUGCUUUCUCAAGCGAGUGGCGAACGGGUGAGUAACGCGUGAGGAACCUGCCUCAAAGAGGGGGACAACAGUUGGAAACGACUGCUAAUACCGCAUAAGCCCACAGGUCGGCAUCGACCAGAGGGAAAAGGAGCAAUCCGCUUUGAGAUGGCCUCGCGUCCGAUUAGCUAGUUGGUGAGGUAACGGCCCACCAAGGCAACGAUCGGUAGCCGGACUGAGAGGUUGAACGGCCACAUUGGGACUGAGACACGGCCCAGACUCCUACGGGAGGCAGCAGUGGGGAAUAUUGCACAAUGGGGGAAACCCUGAUGCAGCGACGCCGCGUGGAGGAAGAAGGUCUUCGGAUUGUAAACUCCUGUUGUGGAGGAAGAUAAUGACGGUACUCAACAAGGAAGUGACGGCUAACUACGUG
rnacentral:rRNA from 1 species